UACCAGCACCCCGAGUGGUCGGGACGAUUAUUGGGCCUAAAGCAUCCGUAGCCGGUUUUACAAGUCCUCCGUUAAAUCCAACUGCUUAACAGAUGGGCCGCGGAGGAUACUAUAAGACUAGGAGGCAGGAGAGGCAAGCGGUACUCAGUGGGUAGGGGUAAAAUCCGUUGAUCCAUUGAAGACCACCAGUGGCGAAGGCGGCUUGCCAGAAUGCGCUCGACGGUGAGGGAUGAAGGCGUGGGGAGCGAACGGG
rnacentral:rRNA from 1 species